rnacentral:rRNA from 1 species
UACAGAGGCCCCAAGCGUUACUGAGAAUCACUGGGUUUAAAGGGUGCGUAGGUGGCGCGUUAAGUCCGUUGUGAAAGCCCUGGGCUCAACCCAGGAACUGCUUCGGAUACUGGCGCGCUUGAGGCUAGUAGGGGUCACUGGAACUGACGGUGGAGCGGUGAAAUGCGUAGAUAUCAUCUGGAACGCCAAUGGUGAAAACAGGUAGCUGGGAGUGUGCUGACGCUGAGACACGAAAGCCAGGGGAGCGAACGGG